UUCUAAUUGCUUCACAAUUAGUAAAACCUGCUCACUGAAUUAAUUAAAUAGCCGCUUUCUGUGCUAAGGUAGCAUAAUAAUUUGCCUGAUAAUUUCAGGAUAGAAUGAACGGUUUAACAUGAGAUUUUCUUUAUUAGUUUUACUAUUUGAAAUUUACAUAAAAGUAAAAAGGCUUUUAUUUCUAGGGGGACGACAAGACCCUGACGAACUUUACUUAAGUUUGGCUGGGGCGGCAAAAAACUAAAGCUUUAACUUUCUUCCUUUAAAUCCUUAAUUUUGAAUUUCAGUUACCGCAGGGUUAACAGCAUAAUCUGUUUUCAGAGAUCUUAUCAAAAAACAGGUUUGUGACCUCGAUGUUGAAUAAAAUUCUAUUAGGGGUAGGACCUUAAAAUAGAAAGUCUGUUCGACUUUUAAUUAUUUACA
rnacentral:rRNA from 1 species